rnacentral:rRNA from 1 species
AGGAUGAACGCUGGCGGCAGGCUUAAUACAUGCAAGUUGAACGGUAACAUGUUGUAGCAAUACGAUGAUGACGAGUGGCGCACGGGUGCGUAACACGUGUGUAACCUACCUUAUACAGGAACAUAACGUUGAGAAAUCGGCGCUAACAUUCCAUAAUAUUAUUUGUAGGCAUCUAUGAAUAAUUAAAACUCCGGUGGUAUAAGAUGGGCACGCGUUCCAUUAGCUAGUUGGCAAGGUAACGGCUUACCAAGGCAACGAUGGAUAGGGUUCUGAGAGGAUAAUCCCCCACACUGGAACUGAGACACGGUCCAGACUCCUACGGGAGGCAGCAGUAAGGAAUAUUGGGCAAUGGAGGCAACUCUGACCCAGCCAUGCCGCCGUGCAGGAAGACGGCCCUAUGGGUUGUAAACUGCUUUUAAUAGGGAUUAAAGUCGACUACGUGUAGUUGUUUGCAAGUACCUAUAGAAUAAGCAUCGGCUAACUCCGUGCCAGCCGCAGC